rnacentral:rRNA from 1 species
GACAGAGGUGCCAAGCGUUAGGCGGAAUCACUGGGCUUAAAGCGUGUGUAGGCGGAUCGUUAAGUACCUUGUGAAAUCCCACGGCUCACCCGUGGAACUGCUGGGUAUACUGGCGGUCUUGGGCCAACUAGGGGCAGCUGGAACAAGCGGUGGAGCGGUGAAAUGCGUAGAUAUCGCUUGGAACGCCGAAGGUGAAAACAGGCUGCUGGGGUUGUGCCGACGCUGAGACACGAAAGCCAGGGGAGCAAACGGG